UCAGAACGAACGCUGGCGACGUGCCUAACACAUGCAAGUCGGACGAGAAAAGCCUUCGGGGUGAGUAGAGUGGCGCACGGGUGAGUAAUACAUAGGAACGUACCUAUAGGUGGGGAAUAACUACGGGAAACUGUAGCUAAUACCGCAUGUGAUAGUGAUAUCAAAGGAGGCCUCUUUACAAUGCUUUCGCCUGUAGAUCGGCCUAUGUCCCAUUAGCUAGUUGGUAGGGUAAUGGCCUACCAAGGCUACGAUGGGUAGCUGGUCUGAGAGGAUGAUCAGCCACACUGGGACUGAGACACGGCCCAGACUCUACGGGAGGCAGCAGUGGGGAAUAUUGCACAAUGGGCGAAAGCCUGAUGCAGCAACGUCGCGUGAGUGAAGAAGGCUCUUGGGUCGUAAAGCUCUUUCGGCAGGAAAGAAGGGCGUUUAAAUUAAUACUUUAGGCGUCUGACGGUACCUGACUAAGGAGCACAGGCUAAUUCCGUGCCAGCAGCCGCGGUAAUACGGAAUGUGCAAGCGUUGUUCGGAUUGACUGGGCGUAAAGAGCACGUAGGUGGAUGUGUAAGUCGAAUGUGAAAUCCCAGGGCUUAACCUUGGAACUGCAUUCGAAACUACAUUUCUUGAAUACUUGAGAGGUUGGCGGAAUUCCAGGUGUAGGAGUGAAAUCCGUAGAUAUCUGGAGGAACAUCAGAGGCGAAGGCGGCCAACUGGCAAUGUAUUGACGCUGAGGU
rnacentral:rRNA from 1 species